rnacentral:rRNA from 1 species
GGUGAGCAACGCGGUUGGUGACCUACCCCAAAGUGUGGGAUAACAGUUCGAAAGAACUGCUAAUACCGCAUGUGGUUAUUGGAUUUAGAAACUAAUAACUAAAGGAGCGAUUCGCUUUGGGAGGGACCUGCGUCCCAUCAGCUAGUUGGUGAGGUAAUGGCUCACCAAGGCUACGACGGGUAGGGGACCUGAGAGGGUGACCCCCCACAAUGGAACUGAAACACGGUCCAUACACCUACGGGUGGCAGCAGUAGGGAAUAUUGCACAAUGGGCGAAAGCCUGAUGCAGCAACGCCGCGUGUGCGAUGAAGGCCUUCGGGUCGUAAAGCACUUUUCUGAGAGAUGAGCAAGGACAGUAUCUCAGGAAUAAGUCUCGGCUAACUACGUGCCAGCAGCCGCGGUAAAACGUAGGAGGCAAGCGUUAUCCGGAUUCACUGGGCGUAAAGCGCGUGCAGGCGGUUCGGUAAGUUGGAUGUGAAAGCUCCUGGCUCAACUGGGGGAGGUCGUUCAAAACUACCGGACUUGAGAGCAGUAGAGGGAGGUGGAAUUCCCGGUGUAGUGGUGAAAUGCGUAGAUAUCGUGAGGAACACCAGUGGCGAAAGCGGCCUCCUGGACUGUUUCUGACACUCAGACGCGAAAGCUAGGGUAGCAAACGGGAUUAGAGACCCCGGUAGUCCUAGCUGUAAACGAUGUGAACUUGGCGUCGGCGGGUUCAAAGCAGCCGGUGCUGUAGCCAAACGCGAUAAGUUCACCAGCCUGGGACUACGGCCGCGAAGUUA